UGUGUUCAGGGAUGCUCACCUGUGUGCAC
rnacentral:piRNA from 1 species